GGGCAAAUAGUGUAGUUGGUUAUCGCGCCCGCUUCGCAAUACUGAUUAUGUAAUCUGUCUGCGGGAGGUGCUGGGUUCAAUUCCCAGUUUGUCCA